rnacentral:rRNA from 1 species
AUUGAACGCUGGCGGCAGGCCUAACACAUGCAAGUCGAACGAGUGGCGGACGGGUGAGUAAUGUCUGGGAAACUGCCCGAUGGAGGGGGAUAACUACUGGAAACGGUAGCUAAUACCGCAUACCAUCAGAUGUGCCCAGAUGGGAUUAGCUAGUGGGUGGGGUAAUGGCUCACCUAGGAGACGAUCCCUAGCUGGUCUGAGAGGAGGACCAGCCACACGGGAACUGAGACACGGUCCAGACUACUGCGGGAGGCAGCAGUGGGGAAUAUUGCACAAUGGGCGCAAGCCUGAUGCAGCCAUGCCGCGUGUGUGAAGAAGGCCUUCGGGUUGUAAAGCACUUUCAGCGAGGAGGCGUUACGCGCAGAAGAAGCACCGGCUAACUCCGUGCCAGCAGCCGCGGUAAUAC